CGGUAGCGCCUCCACCGCACAAGGUCUAUCGCCGCUCCCGGGCCCAGAAAAAAAAAUCCUUCCGUGACGGUAGCACCACCUCCUGCACAACCCUGAAGGCUGAAGCUAUAGCUUAAAAUCUCUCGUACAUUUGCACGCGCCAAGAUAUUUACACGCGCGGUGGUAUAAUAUCUUCGCCAUCGCGUGCCGGUUGCAUUGCACCUCGUGAUUGACCGUGCUACGACGUACGUACCAUCAUGGCUGCUACUAUCCCCGCUUCUCCGGCCACUCUGCAGCCAUGCAAGAAAAACGUGAGCGGCAGCAUGCUCAUCCGGUCGCCUCCGCGCCCUUGGAGGAGGAGGCUCCCCCAGCACGUUGUAAUAGUUGAUGCGAGCUCAUCGUCUCGUGGCCCGAAGGCAGCGACGGGUGGCCGGCUCGAGACGUCGACUGACGCUGCAGCGGUGGCCGGGGAGGAUGGAGACGUGAUCCGGAGGCUGCAGAACGGACCGGACGUGCGUGGCGUUGCGCUGGAAGGGGAGAACGGCCGGGCCGUGGACCUCACGCCGCUGGCGGUCGAGGUGAUCGCCGAGAGCUUCGGGGAGUGGCUGCGGGAGGAGCUCCAGCAGCUGGAGAGCGGGAGGGACGGCGGCGAGGUGCGGGUGUCCGUCGGAAGGGACCCCCGCCUGUCUGGCGCGCGGCUCGGCGCAGCACUGUUCGCGGGGCUGGCGAGGGCAGGGUGUUCCGUGUUCGACGUGGGGCUCGCCACCACGCCGGCUUGCUUCAUGAGCACCAAGCUCCCACGGUUCAGCUAUGACGCCUCCAUCAUGAUGACUGCAUCACAUCUCCCAUACACUCGCAACGGCCUCAAGUUCUUCAUGAAGCGCGGUGGUCUCACGUCCGGCGAGGUGGAAGGGGUCUGCGACCGUGCGGCGCGGAAGUACGUGGCCAGGAAGAUGGGCCUUGGCGGCGGGCGAGGCAUGCCGCCGGUGGUGAUGCGCGUCGACUUGAUGAGCGCCUAUGCGCAGCACCUCCGCAACAUAAUCAAGGAGCGUGUUGCCCACCCGACACACUACGACACCCCCCUAAAGGGCUUCAAGGUGAUCGUGAAUGCCGGCAACGGCUGCGGAGGGUUCUUCACGUGGGACGUCCUGGAGAAGCUGGGAGCCGACACGACGGGGAGCCUCCACCUGGAGCCCGACGGCAAGUUCCCUCACCACAUGCCCAACCCGGAGGACACGACCGCGAUGUCCCUCACGCGCGAUGCGGUCCUGGACCACGGCGCGGACCUCGGCGUGGUGUUCGACACCGACGUGGACCGCAGCGGCGUGGUGGACGCCACGGGCGCGGCCAUCAACGGCGAUCGGCUCAUCGCGCUCAUGUCCGCCAUCGUGCUGGACGAGCACCCCGGCACGACGGUGGUCACGGACGCGCGGACCAGCGACGGGCUCACCCGCUUCAUCCAGGCCAGGGGCGGCCACCACUGCCUCUACCGCGUCGGCUACCGAAACGUCAUUGACAAGGGCGUGCAGCUCAACGCCGACGGCGUCGAGACGCACCUCAUGAUGGAGACCACCGGCCACGGCGCGCUCAAGGAGAACAACUUUCUCGACGACGGUGCGUACAUGGUGGUGAAGAUUAUUAUCGAGAUGGUCAGGAUGAGACUCGUGGGAUUGGAGGGAAGCGUAGGAACACUCAUCAUGGACCUUGAGGAGCCGGCUGAGUCCAAGCUGAUGAGGAUGAACAUUCUGGGAGAAGCCAAGUAUGCAAAACAAAGGGGCACUCAAGCAGUCGAGACUUUUAGGAACCAUAUCCAGGAAGGGAAACUAAAUGGUUGGGUUCUCGAUGACUGUGGGGAUUGCUCGGUUAGCCAAGGAUGCCUCGUGGACACGAAUGAUGAUCCUUUUGAUGUUGAUGCGUACAUGUACAGGUAGCUUUCUUAUUCCGAUCUCUUCGGGAGUUUUGAUUUGCUUUCCUCCGCCGGCCAGACAACGACGAAGGGAAACCCACUGCAGCCCCGUAAGUCUGGGCUAAAUUUUUUGAUGAGUACAAGGGAGAACUGGGGUGGGUCCACAUUCGCCAAAGUGUACAUAACCCCAACAUAGCAAUAAAUAUGCAGUCUUCUAUCCCUGGUGGAUGCAAAUCCAUGGCAAAGGAUCUUCUUGACAGGUAUCUACUGACGAGUGGAGUCAAUGAGUUUGUUGACAUCACCGAAGUACAAAAGUUUGUAAAGUAGAUAUUAUAUUAUAAUCAUUAGCUUUCUACACUUUGUAUGUAUAACUUUUACAUCCCUACUGGAAGAUCGAACAAGAGCUUUGCUCUUUCUGUAGAGUAUGUAGAGACUAUAAUAUUUUGAUAUCCUUUCAAUAGAAACCUGCAUUAGUUUAAGAAAGAAUAAUUACUAAUGUUAUGUUUAUUAAUGUACAUAUACAUGUUUAUUGA